rnacentral:rRNA from 1 species
UGGGGAAUAUUGCACAAUGGAGGGAACUCUGAUGCAGCGACGCCGCGUGGACGAAGAAGGCUUUCGAGUCGUAAAGUUCUUUUAUAUGGGAAGAUAAUGACGGUACCAUAAGAAAAAGCCCCGGCUAACUACGUGCCAGCAGCCGCGGUAAUACGUAGGGGGCUAGCGUUGUCCGGAAUCACUGGGCGUAAAGGGUUCGCAGGCGGAAAUGCAAGUCAGGUGUAAAAGGCAGUAGCUUAACUACUGUAAGCAUUUGAAACUGCAUAUCUUGAGAAGAGUAGAGGUAAGUGGAAUUUUUAGUGUAGCGGUGAAAUGCGUAGAUAUUAAAAAGAAUACCGGUGGCGAAGGCGGCUUACUGGGCUCAUUCUGACGCUGAGGAACGAAAGCGUGGGUAGCAAACAGG